AAUACAUGCAAGUAGAACGCUGAAGGAGGAGCUUGCUUCUCUGGAUGAGUUGCGAACGGGUGAGUAACGCGUAGGUAACCUGCCUGGUAGCGGGGGAUAACUAUUGGAAACGAUAGCUAAUACCGCAUAAUAGUGGAUGUUGCAUGACAUUUGCUUAAAAGGUGCAAUUGCAUCACUACCAGAUGGACCUGCGUUGUAUUAGCUAGUUGGUGAGGUAACGGCUCACCAAGGCGACGAUACAUAGCCGACCUGGGAGGGUGAUCGGCCACACUGGGACUGAGACACGGCCCAGACUCCUACGGGAGGCAGCAGUAGGGAAUCUUCGGCAAUGGACGGAAGUCUGACCGAGCAACGCCGCGUGAGUGAAGAAGGUUUUCGGAUCGUAAAGCUCUGUUGUAAGAGAAGAACGAGUGUGAGAGUGGAAAGUUCACACUGUGACGGUAUCUUACCAGAAAGGGACGGCUAACUACGUGCCAGCAGCCGCGGU
rnacentral:rRNA from 1 species